GACGAACGCUGGCGGCGUGCUUAACACAUGCAAGUCGAACGGAAAGGCCCUGCUUUUGUGGGGUGCUCGAGUGGCGAACGGGUGAGUAACACGUGAGUAACCUGCCCUUGACUUUGGGAUAACUUCAGGAAACUGGGGCUAAUACCGGAUAGGAGCUCCUGCUGCAUGGUGGGGGUUGGAAAGUUUCGGCGGUUGUGGAUGGACUCGCGGCUUAUCAGCUUGUUGGUGGGGUAGUGGUUUACCAAGGCUUUGACGGGUAGCCGGCCUGGGAGGGUGACCGGGCACAAUGGGACUGAGAGACGGCCCAGUCUCCUACGGGAGGCAGCAGUGGAGAAUAUUGCACAAUGGGCGGAAGCCUGAUGCAGCAACGCCGCGUGCGGGAUGACGUCCUUCGGGUUGUAAACCGCUUUCGCCUGUGACGAAGCGUGAGUGACGGUAAUGGGUAAAGAAGCACCGGCUAACUACGUG
rnacentral:rRNA from 1 species